UUUUUUAAGGAGUCGCUGAUGUUUGUAUAUUUAGCAAUAAUUCAGUUCACGGGACACAUUUCAAUAGGUCCUACAUGACGUCACAUCCCCCAUGACCGGUGCUCUGUCGCCAUCUUUUUUCGUUUUGAAAUGAUCUUUCGCCAUAUUUAGAGUACGGAAACCUUUUUCCACUUCGUCGAUCCGCGUUAAAGAACCGCGAUGGUUGGAUGUUGUUGGAUGUGGUUGGAUGUGGUUGGAUGUUGUUGGAUGUUGUUGGUUGUUGUUGGAUUCAAGGACGUAAAAACAAAGGCGGUAAAACAGCGGAGAGAAGUUUUCAUUUCAUCCCGUGAAGGUGGGAAACUUUCCUGCUAAGCAUCAGUUGGCUAACCUGACUUCAUCAGCGCUACACACUCUGCUGGCUGGUGUGUGAAGCAGCGGUGGGGUUUCUGUUUGGACUUUAUUGCCUCCAUCUCUGGAGCAGCGGCAGAUCCUGCAGCUCUUGCAGCUCCGUCCACCUGACCCAACCUGUUGCUGCUCUCUGAUUGGCUGAACAUCUGGACUCUGGAGGAAAACUGACAGAGGAAACUUCCUGGGACGAAGGCGCACCAUCAGAUGGAUGGAAACAAAUCCCUGCAGCAGAUUCAACAUCUGGUGAAGUGCAGGAAGCCGAGACGCUCGCAGUGGAGGGUCAGCAGCAGAUUAACCAACCCGAUGAACCGAUGCUGCGUUCCAGGAACCUCGGAGAUAAUUAAUCUGUUCCAACCUUAAUGAAGGUCUGGACACAUCGUCUCAGAUUGCACCGAAUUUGGGGGGAGUAACGAGACGUGACCUCUGGUCACCACAGGGGUUUUUCCUUUUGCCCAAUUACGUCCUCGUCCUCAUCGGCGCCUCACAGUUUGAACAGGGAGCUGAUGGUUUCCACGACAACAAGCUUCAGGGGCAGUAGGAUAACGAGCCGGCGGACAUCCUCCAAAUUUCAGGAACGUUGGUUCCCACCAUGAAACCAGUGGGCUGGGAUAAACGCUUCGGACCAGAACCGUUCACCGGUCAGGAAAUCCAAACGACAAAUAUCAAGAUCAUGAAACUGAAAGUGAAGGUCACCAUAUAAAUAUAAAUCAAUAUAAAAUCAUUUUA